rnacentral:rRNA from 1 species
UACAGAGGUCCCAAGCGUUGUUCGGAUUCAUUGGGCGUAAAGAGCGUGUAGGCGGCCAGGUAGGUCCGUUGUGAAAACUGGAGGCUUAACCUCCAGCUGUCGAUGGAAACCAUCUGGCUAGAGUCCGGAAGAGGAGAAUGGAAUUCCCGGUGUAGCGGUGAAAUGCGCAGAUAUCGGGAGGAACACCAGUGGCGAAGGCGGAGACCUGGGCCGAUACUGACGCUGAGGUGCGAAAGCGUGGGGAGCAAACAGGG